rnacentral:rRNA from 1 species
GACGAACGCUGGCGGCAGGCCUAACACGUGCAAGUCGAACGCCCGUAGCAAUACGGGAGUGGCAGACGGGUGAGUAACGCGUGGGAACGUGCCCUUCGGUUCGGAAUAACUCAGGGAAACUUGAGCUAAUACCGGAUACGUCCGUAAGGAGAAAGAUUUAUCGCCGAAGGAUCGGCCCGCGUCGGAUUAGCUAGUUGGUGAGGUAACGGCCCACCAAGGCGACGAUCCGUAGCUGGUCUGAGAGGANGAUCAGCCACACUGGGACUGAGACACGGCCCAGACUCCUACGGGAGGCAGCAGUGGGGAAUAUUGGACAAUGGGCGAAAGACCUGAUCCAGCCAUGCCGCGUGAGUGAAGAAGGCCUUAGGGUUGUAAAGC